GAUGAAAUUGAAAGAAGAACAAGAUCUGAAUGAAGUGGAGGAGAAGCAUCAGGAUCAGAAAGAUCAUGAUGUCACCACUGAAGAAAAAUCAAUGCAUCAAUCAAUAUUAUUAGUUUCGGAAAACCCCCUGGUGCCACAGUGCACCUCAUGUUGCACUAUGUAUCACUGCAGUUUAUGCCCUGCUCUGAAGCCAACCACCCUGAAAAAAAUCAAGCAACACUGGGAAGGCCAUUUAAAAAAGGCAAUUGUUUUCCAAGACAAAAGAUUAUGUCGUUGCCAUUUGGCCUGCAGAACUGAGGCUCAUUACCAUUGCCCCAAUUGCAGCAAAACUGUUCUC